UACCAGCUCUCCGAGUGGUAGGGAUGAUUAUUGGGCUUAAAGCGUCCGUAGCCGGCUUAGCAAGUCUCCUGUUAAAUUCAGCGACCUAAUCGUUGAGCCGCGGGAGACACUACUAGGCUAGGAGGCGGGAGAGGCCGACGGUAUUCUCGGGGUAGGGGUGAAAUCCUAUAAUCCCGGGAGGACCACCAGUGGCGAAGGCUGUCGGCUAGAACGCGCUCGACGGUGAGGGACGAAAGCUGGGGGAGCGAACCGGAUUAGAUACCCGGGUAGUCCCAGCUGUAAACGAUGCGGGCUAGGUGUUGGGGUGGCUACGAGCCACUUCAGUGCCGCAGGGAAGCCAUUAAGCCCGCCGCCUGGGGAGUACGGCCGCAAGGCUGAAACUUAAGGAAUUGGCGGGGAGCACCACAAGGCGUGAAGCUUGCGGUUC
rnacentral:rRNA from 1 species